CCUACGGGUGGCAGCAGUAGGGAAUCUUCCACAAUGGGCGCAAGCCUGAUGGAGCAACACCGCGUGAGUGAAGAAGGGUUUAGGCUCGUAAAGCUCUGUUGUUGGAGAAGAACGUGCGUGGGAGUAACUGUGCACGCAGUGACGGUAUCCAACCAGAAAGUCACGGCUAACUCCGUGCCAGCAGACGCGGUCGUACGUAGGUGGCAAGCGUUGUCCGGAUUUAUUGGGCGUAAAGCGGGCGCAGGCGGUUGCUUAGGUCUGAUGGGAAAGCCUUCGGCUUAACCGAAGAAGUGCCUAGGAAACCGGGCGACUUGAGUGCAGAAGAGGACAGUGGAACUCCAUGUGUAGCGGUGGAAUGCGUAGAUAUAUGGAAGAACCCCAGUGGCGAAGGCGGCUGUCUGGUCUGCAACUGACGCUGAGGCUCGAAAGCAUGGGUAGCGAACAGGAUUAGAUACCCGGGUAGUC
rnacentral:rRNA from 1 species